ensembl:lncRNA
GCCAAUCAGAACCCUUCAUCUGAUGUGGGGCGUGUUCCAUGAUGAUUGACAGAGGAGAGGCUUAUCGGAGCGACGUUUGUUAACAUGAACGGAAAGGUGCCAGACGAACACACGUUAGUGGGGUUGGCAUGGCGAUGUCAGGCUACAGGAUACAAGGGAAAGUGAAAUGCAUCCCCUGGUCGUUUGGUAAGGAUCAGUGAUUCUUCAUCGUACCCCUAAAGUUUGUGGUCUUUUACAGGCGCCUGCAUGAUGGAAUCCAGAGAGCCCUCCAACCAUCCCACCAGGGGCGAGCCCAUGGAACAGCCCUCAGAAACAACCUUUCCCUCCCUAUGAUAGACGCCUGGGUUGUUGUCAGGUAGUGUUUAUAACAGGUAUGCCGCUCGUUAGUGGAACAGCUCGUUACUGGCGCUGCUCGUUAGUGUUAAUUGGUGUAAGUCUAUUAAUAAA